rnacentral:rRNA from 1 species
GACGAACGCUGGCGGCGUGCCUAAUACAUGCAAGUAGAACGCUGAAGGAGGAGCUUGCUUCUCUGGAUGAGUUGCGAACGGGUGAGUAACGCGUAGGUAACCUGCCUGGUAGCGGGGGAUAACUAUUGGAAACGAUAGCUAAUACCGCAUAAGAGUAGAUGUUGCAUGACAUUUGCUUAAAAGGUGCAAUUGCAUCACUACCAGAUGGACCUGCGUUGUAUUAGCUAGUUGGUGGGGUAACGGCUUACCAAGGCGACGAUACAUAGCCGACCUGAGAGGGGGAUCGGCCACACUGGGACUGAGACACGGCCCAGACUCCUACGGGAGGCAGCAGUAGGGAAUCUUCGGCAAUGGACGGAAGUCUGACCGAGCAACGCCGCGUGAGUGAAGAAGGGUUUCGGAUCGUAAAGCUCGGUUGUAAGAGAAGAACGAGUGUGAGAGUGGAAAGUUCACACUGUGACGGUAUCUUACCAGAAAGGGACGGCUAACUACGUG